rnacentral:lncRNA from 1 species
UAGGAAUGUUGGUUAAGGGGAGAUAAUAUGGUUAUAUAAGGGAGAUAAUCAGCAUUAUGUUGGUGCUUUUGGCUUCUCAGCUUCAUGUUUCAGCAUUAUUGUGCCAUUUUAUAUGUUGUGCCAUACCAAAUGUAAAUAGACCCUAUUUAAUUGUUAUUUAUUAAAAAAAAAUGGAUUAGAUUAGUGGCUUUGCUGUAUUCUACCAAACAAAAACACUUGCUUCGUCCAUUUUCCAUCCCUAAAUUAAAUCAGUGACCCCGUCAUUUACUUUAAGUAACAAUUAUUUAGAUAAACUUGGUUGACAAUUGUUCUGUAUAUUAUUCUUAUCAACCAAAAAAAAUCAUAAAAUCUUGAAAUGAAAGUCUAAAAAAUGGCUUUGUUUUUUUGUUUAAAUAAAGUGUAUCAAUUUAUUUUCUCUUUCACAUUGUCUUUCAAUGAUUUUUCAAUUUUUUAUGGUCAAAUUAUAUUU